rnacentral:rRNA from 1 species
UACGUAGGGAGCAAGCGUUGUCCGGAAUCAUUGGGCGUAAAGCGCGUGUAGGCGGCCCGGUAAGUCCGCUGUGAAAGUCGGGGGCUCAACCCUCGAAUGCCGGUGGAUACUGUCGGGCUCGAGUGCGGAAGAGGCGAGUGGAAUUCCUGGUGUAGCGGUGAAAUGCGCAGAUAUCAGGAGGAACACCGAUUGCGAAGGCAGCUCGCUGGGACGUUACUGACGCUGAGACGCGAAAGCGUGGGGAGCAAACAGG